rnacentral:rRNA from 1 species
AUAGAGAGUGUGAACGCGCCCAAUCUCAUCUGAUCUCUGAAGCUAAGCAGGGUCGGGCCUGGUUAGAACUUGGAUGGGAGACCGCUUGCGAACACCAGGUGCUGUA